rnacentral:piRNA from 1 species
UACCAAGCUCUUCCUGAGACUGCAGCCACCAC